AGCAAGCCUACGCUCUGUAUACAUUAGCAUGGCAUAAAAUUAUAGAGUUUCGGUCCUAUUACAUUUGCCUUCGGGAUCGAAUUAAUGAUUAAUAGGGACCGUCGGGGCAUUCGUGUUUCAUAGUCACAGGUGAAAUUUUUAGAUUUAUGAAAGACGAACAACUGCGAAAGCAUUUUCCAAAGAUGUUUAAUU
rnacentral:rRNA from 1 species